GGGUUCCCCCUUUUUCCUCUCAAUCUGUCCCCACUUUGGCUGGCUUGAGGGUUUCAUCGGCGCCGGAUGCGCCUCCACCUCCGCCGUGGCCCAUGGCCCCCUCUUGGUGCCGUUUCUGCGCCAGAGAGAGACUCCGACGACAAAACCACGGUCGUAUUCGGGUAAACUCUUCUCUUUUUCGUAUGGUGAUGAAAAAAUGAAAGUUUAAAAGUAAAAUCAAUAGCCAAAUAUUGAAACAGAAAAAAAAAUCACCUCUUUCGAUUUCUUUGCUGUUUUUGAUUGCUAUGUGCGCGUAUACAUUCGUAAAAAAAAUACAAGCAUAUUGUAUGGCUUUAUAUAGCAGAAUAAAAUAAAAAUCAAAUUACAAAAACUAUUUUCCUCCUUUUUUUUUGUUAUUUCCCUGUUGUUGCUGUGUAUUUGCUGUGGCUUGUUGGUUUGUUGCAGGUACAGCUAAACAGAUGUGCGUGGAGAAACCGUUUGUGGGUAGCGACGCAAGGGUUUCCAGAAGCUUCACCCUGCUUGGGCCCUGUGAGCCUACCCUAAAGUUGAGCUGUUAGGGCUGGAGACCAUUGCUGCGACGCGAGGGAGCUUCAGAAACCCUUA
rnacentral:lncRNA from 1 species